rnacentral:tRNA from 1 species
GCGGAUAUAGUUAAGUGGUAGAAUACGUCCUUGCCAUGGAUGAGACGGGAGUUCGAUUCUCCCUAUCCGCA